UCUGAAUAAUAGAAACAAUAAGCAGAUUUUCUUCUUGAUCAAAAUAUUGAUUGCAUGUAUUUUAUUGGACGUACAAUUAUAUUAAACGAUUUAUCAUUCUUUUCUUUUGUGGUGGCGAAAAGUGAAUGAAAAAGAAAUCGGUACAAAAUGGCUAUUGCACAGUUUCUACUGGAUCUUAUUCAACCCGUGUACCAAAAAAUAAAGGCAAAUAAAAAAAAAAUUAACGACGCAUUUAGCAUUUCAUAUAUUUGGAGAAAACAAACGACUGAAUAAAAUCAAAAUCAAUUCUUGAA